UACGGAGGAUGCGAGCGUUAUCCGAAUUUAUUGGGUUUAAAGGGUGCGUAGGCGGACUGUCAAGUCAGCGGUAAAAUUGAGAGGCUCAACCUCUUCCCGCCGUUGAAACUGGUGGUCUUGAGUGGAUGAGAAGUACGCGGAAUGCGUGGUGUAGCGGUGAGAUGCAUAGAUAUCACGCAGAACUCCGAUUGCGAAGGCAGCGUACCGGCAUCCAACUGACGCUGAGGCACGAAAGCGUGGGGAUCAAACAGG
rnacentral:rRNA from 1 species